rnacentral:lncRNA from 1 species
CCAGCAGCUGAGGCCCCGGCAAGGGCAGCCACGGGUCUGGAGUUGGAACGGGACAAUGCGCCGUCAGGCCGGCAGAAGCUGGCAGAUGAGGGCCGAGUUGUGGCACACAGGUGCCAGAUCUCCAAAUGGAGGAAACUGGAAAGAAAAAGGUAAAGAUAAUCUGUAAUUUCAUCACCCGGAGACAACUGCUGUUGACAUUGCCUUGUGCAUCUGAGGAGGACUUUGACAGGUGAGGUGGUGGGAGGAU